rnacentral:lncRNA from 1 species
AUGGUUAUUUACUCUUUAACCAGUCUGUGGUUUUGGACUUUUGAGAAGCUUUCAGAAGAUAUGCUGCAGAGGGUCUGUAAGGGCGGCUCAUUGUCUAUAACGAUGAACAUAAUAAUUGCUCUUCUGUGUAUUCUGACAAACCAAGUCAUAAACCAAACCGAAGGUAAGUUCAUUUUUCCUCAUUACAAGAUAUGUCUCUUCUGUAUUCCUAAAUGUUACUAGGUUGCGCUCAUCAUUACAUAUAUUGCUCACUAUGAUGUCACACAGAUAUUUUUCCUGCAAGGAUCCUGGCCCAGCAGACAAUUAUAAGUGAAAACAGUGACCUUAUUGUAACAUGCAGCACAUUUGGAAAAAAGAAAAACUCCAUGGUUUUUAUUUAUUUGUUAAAAAAUGGGCACGGAAUCCAGAAUCUCACCCAGAAGCAAGAUCGAAGUGACACUACGUUCAUCAUACCCAGAGCUGGUCUUUAUUACAGUGGAAAUUACAGCUGUGUUUAUUCCCCAAAACAUUAUACAAUUUCUGAAGUAGCCAAGAAAGGAGACAACAUCAUUGAGAUUCUGGUCAUAGGUAAGUGUUUUGACUCCUGAACACAUGAUGUCAUUGUUAUUUCUUUCCACUCAUUUUCUCCUGUUUCCAUGCAGCCAAUUUUCUCCCAGCAGAUAUUUCAAUAAUUGGAGCAUCCUCUGUUCAUGAGGGAGACUAUGUUGAAUUCCAGUGCACAGUGUCUCAACACCUACAUACACUUGGUGGAUGUAAAUUUAUCUACGCUUACCUGAGGAAGAACGACACGAUUCUGCUAGUGCAAUUAUUUAAUGUCUCUCAGAAGCUGGCAACUUUCAUCAUUGAUAGUGCAGUUUUGAGGGAUUCAGGUCAUUACAGCUGCAUAGUGCUGCCAUCUAAAUGCUUCUAUGAGCAUAAGUUCAGAGUUCAUGGAACAAACAAUUUAUUUCUUCAGGUCAAAGGUAAGAAUGUCUUCAUGCUUCUA